rnacentral:rRNA from 1 species
CGAAGGGGGCUAGCGUUGUUCGGAAUUACUGGGCGUAAAGCGUUUGUAGGCGGUUAUACAAGUCAGUGGUGAAAGCCUGGGGGCUCAACCUCAGAAUUGCCAUUGAAACUGUAUAGCUAGAGAGUGUUAGAGGAAAGUGGAAUGGCUAGUGUAGGAGUGAAAUCCGUAGAGAUUAGUCGGAAUAUCGAUGGCGAAGGCAGCUUUCUGGGACAUUUCUGACGCUGAGAAACGAAAGCGUGGGUAGCAAACAGGAUUAGAUACCCUGGUAGUCCACGCCCUAAACGAUAGGGUGCUAAAUGUCGGGACAUUAGUCUCGGUAUUGUAGCUAACGCGUUAAGCACCCGCCUGGGGAGUACGGUCGCAAGAUUA